UAAAUUAAACUGUUGUAAUACGCAUCCGCGACUAAAACAGACCAAGCUUUCAGGGAAAAGACGAAUAGUUCUAACAAAAUUAAGCGAGGGGCAGACAGAAUAUCAGGCGACGAAUCGACGGGCAGGCAACGAAUAUUGGGUAAUAAAUAAACUACGGACAAGAAAUGAACAGGCUAAUCAAGAUAUCACGCAAUUCAAAUAAAUUGCAAAUAAAAAAAAUCUUUACAACUUAAAAAGAAAAAAAAAAAAGUGAUAAAAAA